GAUGAACGCUGGCGGCGUGCCUAAUACAUGCAAGUCGAGCGAACAGACGAGGAGCUUGCUCCUCUGACAUUAGCGGUGGACGGGUGAGUAACACGUGGAUAACCUACCUAUAAGACUGGGAUAACUUCGGGAAACCGGAGCUAAUACCGGAUAACAUGUUGAACCGCAUGGUUCAGCAGUGAAAGACGGUCUUGCUGUCACUUAUAGAUGGAUCCGCGCCGCAUUAGCUAGUUGGUAAGGUAACGGCUUACCAAGGCAACGAUGCGUAGCCGACCUGAGAGGGUGAUCGGCCACACUGGAACGGAGACACGGUCCAGACUCCUACGGGAGGCAGCAGUAGGGAAUCUUCCGCAAUGGGCGAAAGCCUGACGGAGCAACGCCGCGUGAGUGAAGAAGGUCUUCGGAUCGUAAAACUCUGUUAUUAGGGAAGAACAAAUGUGUAAGUAACUAUGCACGUCUUGACGGUACCUAAUCAGAAAGCCACGGCUAACUACGUGCCAGCCGCCGCCGUAA
rnacentral:rRNA from 1 species